UCUGUUUUUACCCUUUCUCCGGGCUGUUAUUGUCAUACAAAUUACAUCUUUAUACAUGUUGUGCUGAACAACAAGUGGAUUUGUAGGUGUUUCUUUGUGAAGUUAUCUUCUAAAUCAGAUUUGCUGAGAUUUGUUUUGUGACCUAACAUCUGAUCUACCCUGAAGACACUUCCAUGUGCUGAUGAGGAGAAUGCAUACUCUUCAGCUGUUGAGUGGGAUGUUCUGUGAAUAUCUGGUA